rnacentral:rRNA from 1 species
UACGUAGGGGGCGAGCGUUGUCCGGAUUUAUUGGGCGUAAAGAGCGUGUAGGCGGCCAGGUAGGUCUGCUGUGAAAACUCGAGGCUCAACCUCGAGACGUCGGCGGAAACCAUCUGGCUAGAGUCCGGAAGAGGAGAGUGGAAUUCCUGGUGUAGCGGUGAAAUGCGCAGAUAUCAGGAAGAACACCCGUGGCGAAGGCGGGUCCCUGGGACGGUACUGACGCUGAGACGCGGAAGCGUGGGGAGCGAACAGG